rnacentral:lncRNA from 1 species
UUGAGAAGAAUUAAGAAUCUAACAAAAACAAAAGGGUUACUUACAAAAUGAUGAAUUGUCACAAUCAUUUUUGUUACAAGCAUUGCAUUAAGAUGCACUAAAAACUAGUGCAUCACUAUUAAAGACGUGGCCCAAUACUCUAGGGUGCAGAUACCUAUAUAUAUACAUGUCCUCUCGUUUGUCUAUUUCAUUUGAACAAGAAAUAAUGAAUGAUCUUGUUAAUACACAAAUGUAUAACUUCUCAGGAUUUUCAGUUGUGUUUAUAUUCAUCAUUAUAGGAACUUGAUUCAUGUUUUUCCCAACCUCUUCUCAUCAGUGAACUCCUAACAUAUAUGGAGUGUAAUUUUCAAAGAGGAUGGAUUAAUUCCUAC